rnacentral:rRNA from 1 species
UAGGGAAUAUUGGUCAAUGGGUGAAAGCCUGAACCAGCCAUGCCGCGUGCAGGAAGACGGCCUUCUGGGUUGUAAACUGCUUUUACUAGGGGAUAAAAUACCCGUGCGCGGGGAAUUGAAGGUACCUGGUGAAUAAGCCACGGCUAACUACGUGCCAGCAGCCGCGGUAAUACGUAGGUGGCAAGCGUUGUCCGGAUUUAUUGGGUUUAAAGGGUGCGUAGGCGGCUUUGUAAGUCAGUGGUGAAAUACUCCAGCUCAACUGGAGAGGUGCCAUUGAUACUGCAGAGCUAGAGUACUGAUGAGGUAGGCGGAAUGGACGGUGUAGCGGUGAAAUGCUUAGAUAUCGUCCAGAACACCGAUAGCGAAGGCAGCUUACUAAAGAGUAACUGACGCUGAGGUGCGAAAGCGUGGGGAGCAAACAGGAUUAGAUACCCAAGUAGUCCCUGAGCGGGCUGGCAAGGCGCAU